rnacentral:rRNA from 1 species
UACGAAGGGGGCUAGCGUUGCUCGGAAUCACUGGGCGUAAAGCGCACGUAGGCGGCUUUUUAAGUCAGAGGUGAAAUCCUGGAGCUCAACUCCAGAACUGCCUUUGAUACUGACUGUCUUGAGUAUGGGAGAGGUAUGCGGAACUCCGAGUGUAGAGGUGAAAUUCGUAGAUAUUCGGAAGAACACCAGUGGCGAAGGCGGCAUACUGGCCCAUUACUGACGCUGAGGCUCGAAAGCGUGGGGAGCAAACAGG